rnacentral:tRNA from 1 species
AUUUAAAUAGCUUAUAUUAGAGCAUAAUAUUGAAAAUAUUAAUGAAAAUUUUUAAAUUUUUUAAAUA